rnacentral:lncRNA from 10 species
GUGAGAAGCAGCUGUGGAGAGCUGAUGCACAAGCCCACAGUAGGGUGAGCAAGCCUGGAGUAGGGUGACAACAUGGAGGAGGGAGCGCCUGGCUCUGCCAGGAAUCGGCCAAGGCUCAACAGUGUUUAUGCCUUAAGACAAGAAAACAGCACGGAGUUGAGAGCUUAAGCUCUGGAACUGGGCAAGUUCUCUCAAAGCCUCAUCGGGCUACUCUAAGAAUUAAAUUAAAACACUAACAAGCACAGAAUAAGCUAGUUCCUGAUAUAGUAAGAGCUUAUUAUGUGCCAGGAACUGUUGAGCAGAAACCUAUCACUUUUGAGCGACUAUGAUGUGCCAGGCCUUGUUCAAAAACUCAAUGGCAGAGACCCACGUAUUGAGGGACUGAAGUUUCAGCAGCACAUGAGUGACCUUCGAAAUGGAUCCUCCAUCACCUUCAGAUGACUGCAGCCCUGGAUCACAACUUCACCACAACCUUGAGAGUGACCCUCACCUUGAACCUCCCAGCCAAGCUGUUCUCAGAAGGCCAGCUAACUUCCAAAAUUACCCCAGGAUUCAUCAUAUCAAGGGGCAAAUGGCUUCCUGUUUCUCUCUGUGUCCUCUCAGGGCAUUAGUGUCUGGCCCUCUCUCAAGGUACCUGAAUGCUGGGAGCCUGAAUCUGACAAUGCCCAUUGCACCUCACAAAUCAGCUUGAGACAAUGCUCACAUAUGUUCCCCCUGCUUCAUAUGUCUCGGUUAUACUUGAGUAACGCUCAUAUACUUUUACCCCAUUUUGUAUCUCUCAGUUAUACUUGAAUAACGCUCAUAUACUUUUCCCAUUUCGUAUCUCUCAGUUGUACUUGAGUAACACUCAUACAUUUUUCCCAUUUCGUAUCUCUCAGUUGUUACUCAGUUGAGUAACACUCAUAUACUUUUCCCCUGUUUUGUAUCUCUCUGUUAUACCUUGAGUAAUGCUCAUAUACUUUUCCCCUACCUUGCAUCUCUUAAUUAGAAAAAUGCCACACAUGGUGUUCCAGGCUACUCUCUCAAGAGAUUAUGUAAGUAAUGACUCCUAAACUGGGAAAAGACAUACAACUCUGCAGAUGAGUUUGAACUCUUUUCUCCUCCCUUCCUCCAGGUGGUUCCUUUCCAAAGAUGAUAUAAUUAGCAAUAAAGUCAAUAAAAUCUGGAUUUUUUUCUAACUCAUCCAAAAACUGUUACCCAG